rnacentral:lncRNA from 1 species
AGAACCAAUUGGUUUCACAGGCAAGCAUGUUGUCCAUGCAGCUCACGCUAUUUUGGAGGGAAAAUACAAUACACACAGAGACCAGACUUUGGAGGAAUGAGGCCGGCCUUCUGUCAUCUUGGGAAAUGGUAAGAAAGAAAUGGUCCUGGAGAAGGCACAGUAUGUCCUGGGCAAAGGUUGGGGAGCUACAUUGAGGACGUGGGCUUGAGCUGGUCCUUUCAGGAAUAGAGCUUAUGAUUUGGAUCCUCAAAACUCUUCAAUCGCAGACCCAGAAACAAGAAUUUAUGAUGAUUAGUUUGCCGAGAGCCAGGAAUUGAGAAACCUGUACUUACUUUGUUGAGAAAUUUUAAUAUCAUCCCAAGUGGCAAAAAUAUGCCCGGAGGAAGCUCUGGGAGGAUAACAGAGUGUUGCUCUCAGGAUAGAGUGUUGAAGUACUUCUUCCUGUUAGAUUUUCCAGAAGGUUAUAUGAGGAUGUGAUGGCAAGAAUAGAGUGGGCUAUUCACCCUGCUCAUGAAUCAAGGUCUCUGACACUUUGGCAUUGAACACACAAGAUGUGGACUGAUUCACAGUCUGAGGGAUUCUCUGUGACUCUAGAUUUUCCUCUUCCUGAGACUUCUGUGUGGGACAAAGCAUGUUGUCUCCAUUCCCUGCCCUAUUAUCUCUACGAGUUUACUAGUGUUGGUCAACCUACAUGGUCUGUUGGAAAGGCAUCACCCCAAGCCUCCACCACCAAUAAGCAGGAUCAGAGAAUGAAGAGGAUGGAGAAGCUCAAAAGGGAUCUCCAGAAGAUCAAAAAUGGGAGAGACAACUCCAGGGAAUCCUAGUCAAUUACACUAACAAGGAUUUGAACAACAGAUGUGCCAUCACAGGUCUAUAAGGAUGACAAACAGAACUCUCCAGUGGAAUGGGAACACUCUGGCCGUACAGUCUUAUUCUGACAAAGGCUCGAGAAUUCAAGAUUACGAACCAUAAAACUAGAGCAAAUCUGUGUGUAGGACACUAUUGGCUCAUCAAGCCUGGGAUGCACCAGGGCAUACAGUAGGCACAUAUUUGUUGUAAGGAAUCCCUACAGGAAUGAGAAGACAUGAUGAAGACGCCAAGAUCAUCCCUCUAAAAAUAAGAACUGAGAAUGUUAACUCGUCAA